rnacentral:rRNA from 1 species
GAACGCUGGCGGCAGGCCUAACACAUGCAAGUCGAACGGUAACAGGAAGCAGCUUGCUGCUCGCUGACGAGUGGCGGACGGGUGAGUAAUGUCUGGGAAACUGCCUGAUGGAGGGGGAUAACUACUGGAAACGGUAGCUAAUACCGCAUAACGUCGCAAGACCAAAGAGGGGGACCUUCGGGCCUCUUGCCAUCAGAUGUGCCCAGAUGGGAUUAGCUAGUUGGUGGGGUAACGGCUCACCAAGGCGACGAUCCCUAGCUGGUCUGAGAGGAUGACCAGCCACACUGGAACUGAGACACGGUCCAGACUCCUACGGGAGGCAGCAGUGGGGAAUAUUGCACAAUGGGCGCAAGCCUGAUGCAGCCAUGCCGCGUGUAUGAAGAAGGCCUUCGGGUUGUAAAGUACUUUCAGCGGGGAGGAAGGUGUUGUGGUUAAUAACCGCAGCAAUUGACGUUACCCGCAGAAGAAGCACCGGCUAACUCCGUGCCAGCCGCUGC